GGAAGGGCUGUCGCUCAGUGGGAGAGCACCUGCUUUGCAUGCAGAAGGCUCCAAGUUCGAUCCCUGACACCUCCC